UCCAGCUAUUAAUACCACAGAUAAGAUAUGCACAGCUCUGUGUAUGCGACAAACAAGACGAAGGAAGUGAUCCCAUCAGAAGUACUGCACUUUCUGACAUUCAAAGGAAUGCCUGAAAAUACUAUCAAGUUAUCUUGUUGGGAACUACUUGCAUCCUUUGAUUCUAGGAGCCAAGUGCCAGUUUUUGUUUUGACCAAUGCUUCCUAAAGCCAUAAAAGGAGACCCACAAAGGAGAUAUGUGAAAGGCAGAUGGAUGCAAAGCACAGAGGAAUUGGAAAAAAUGGACAAAGACCAAAACAACAUAAUGGCAUAAUGGCUGACCAAAUCUUCAGUAAAACUGACCAUCUUUACCACCUAAUCCAAAAUGACUUCCCUCAGAGACAGGUAUUUCAGGGGAAUGGUGCUUUGCAUUAAAAAAGCAGUGCCUGGGGAAAGAAAUGAUGACAGAUGAGGCUUGAACAAGAGGACUUGAAUACAGCGUGACUGAAAAGUGCUGUUGACAUGAGGUCUGCAACUGCCUUUCACCACUCAGUGCACUGGCUUCCAGUGAAGUGAGCGUAGAGGAGAGAUGGGAAGCUUGGCUGUAGCCUCACUGAUUUUUAUUUGACAUAGAAAGCGAACAUGGGAUAAGAAUAUUAGCAUGAGGAUAACUGAACAAAUGGUAUUAUAUUCUUGAUAAAGCCAGAAGCAAAAUGGAUACUUUCAGAAGUGUAAUCAGAGUUGAUUGGAUUGACAAUUCAGGGCAUUUAUGUCAUUAAUAAGAACAAUACUGUGUGGGUUUUUUUUGCUGUACUAUUCUUCUAAGUGCUUUCCAAAACCACAGAGACAUCAUAUGUUGAUUUUCUUGGCAGAAAUCAAAGCUUCUCCACUCUUCCUCAUACAUGUAAGAUGUAAUGAUGUUGAUAUGUCUCCUCAGGGUUGCUAUUUUGAUAAUAUUACCUAUUCAGUACUUUCUCAGUUCUACUUUUAUAACUUAGCCUAGUUUUAAGGACAAGGAAUAGCAAAUAUUCAACAAAAGGGUAGAGCAGUUCUACUACUGAUAUCAGAACAAUUAGGGGACAAGUGCAAUGAAAAAUUUUACGUUGAUAUAUGAUGGUAUAGAUGAUUUUCAAAGUCUAUUUAGUAGGAUGAGUCUGAAGCAGCAAUGUGGCGUGCAACACUGACAGCAUGGCCCUACUGUACUGUAUGACAGUAUACUGCAUUGGAAUUACAAAAUUUACUGUGGAACUGAGUUAUGUUACAGAUAAGGAAACUGUGAGACCAUGACAUCUAUUCUCAUCAAAAGGAUGUGUAAGAAAUCAGAAAAGCUUCUUAACAGUUUUAUCUAAAGAAGGAGUAUGGUGAGUACGGACAGCAAGCACAACUGUCAUAAGAUCUCCUCAGAAAUGGCAUGCUGCAUGAACACAGUUAUGUGUCUGUGUCAUCGAUGGGAAGGUUUACAACAUGCAGUGUUCUUCAACUUGCUGUGACCACACACAAAUUGAAUGCAUCAGCUAGAUAUUUUUCUUGAUAAAUUCUCUUGGACAGAGGGAAUAUUUAGCGGGUUUGGAUAGAGGGAAAUGCUAAUGGCUUCUUGGCCAGCCUUGUGUCCAUGGGUCUGUGUAAGAGUGAGAGAGGUUUUGCCUACAGGAGUUUCAAUUUGUGCCAUGUUGAGAGGGAGAGAAACACCAAGUUUUGAUUAACAGAGAACCAGACAGUCCCUGAAGUGUACUUUAAGAGGGAAAUAUGCAUAAUGUACACUGGAUUUGGAUAGGCAGUGUGGAUAAAGAAACAUGUGCACAAGGACUGGAUAUAAAAAAAUAUCCCCCCCAAAAAACUUAAGAAAGUAUUAAGAAUGAAGAGAAUGAGCAUUAAGUUGCUUGAGUAAAUAAAAUAUUGAAUGAUGAGACACCACGCUUACUUGGUGUCUUACCUAAGACAUGGUUUGCACGCAGGGGCUCACGAGAAUGCUACAAAAGUCAGUGCAGGAAUUUGAAAAUCAUGUGAACAAACUCAUCUAAUUUAAGAAUAUGGUUACUUACUUCAUAGCUACUACACUGUAGACAGAUGAAGCAAGAAGCUGCAACAGUAAAAGCAAAAGGUACAGAAGGCUGUUGAUGGUAAAAGAGAGAAUAAUAUCUAGAGUGCUAUGAAACCAAAGACAUUCAGAGAAUACUGUUUAGAGUAGAUGAAAAAAAGGAAAAGAUUGCAAUUUUUGUACAGAGUCCUGGUAUUUGUAAGAAAACAAAACCAAAUUUGAAUGAAAGCCCAAAAAUUGCAAGAAAUAGACAUUAGUCAUUUUUUAGAUACUCAAAGUACUGAAACACAAAUGUGAUAGAAAAAUGAACACAAAUAGAAACAAAUGAACACCCACAAAUUGAAAGGAAAUCAUACACAAAUGCUAAAAUUGCAACGUGAAUUGCAGACAUCCCAAUAUGUAAUAAAGCAGCAACUGAUCUGACACUAACUGGAAGAUAAUUUGUAUCUGAUCAAGAUUAAAUAUUUGCUUUUCUCUAAAUUAAAUCUCCCAGUAGAAGUUCUUUAGAUUUUUUACAGGCCAAAUCUCAGUAUUUCCAAAUCAGACUCCACAAGAAAUCCAUUAAGAUGAAGCAAGAGAAAAACUGCAAAAUAUCAUCAGCUCCCUGUUGCCUAAUGCAGACAGUUACAGAUGAUGUGUCUGGUACGUGGAGAAACUAAACAAGUCCACGCCAGAGGCAGUGUCUUGGUCUGAAUCACAAAGUUUUAAGGAAACCACAGCACUGAAUGCAUUGUUAAUAAAAGCGUAAUAUGUAAAGCAUGAUGCUCUGCAGCACACACUGGAAAUAGAUUUCACCUGCAAUUUUCUCUGUUAAAUUAUUGUAAGGAUAAUUUCACAUUCUGCACAAUUUCAUCACCUUUCCAAAAUGGCUGGAAAGCUCAUUAAUUUAACUGUGGGAGCAAAGUAAACUUGUAAGAGCUCUGCUUGCUAAUGUCACUCUCUUUGAUUUCUGUUGCAUUCCCUGGGAGACAAGAAUUGAGCGAGAGAGGGUGGAGAAGAAUGAGAAGACAAAUGAGCUCAGGGCAUGAAGUGCCCGGGGAAGGAUUGGAUGGACUGUCAAGAGUUACAGGAGGGGAUUGAGAAGAAAAGCACCUCUGGGAAAGGGGGAGGCAGGGAAGAAGCCAAAUGCCUUAAGAGAAAUAACAGGAGACACGGGAAGGAGCAAGAUACCAACUAGGGACAUCUGGAAACCUAGUAGGACAGGAAGGGCUGGGGAGGCAAAAAGAGACAUGGAUAAAAGGGAGUGAAAUUGCAGGGAAGAGAAGGAGGCGUCUUAGUGCAGAUCAGAUAUUUAUUGCCUGCUGACAUUGCUCCCAAAAGGAGAGUGAUGUGAAUGGGGGAGAACACAGGAAGGAGAUAAUGAUCAGCAGCUACUGGAAAUAACACACCGUAUAGGGAACAAAGUUAUCUCAGAUUAACUACAGGGGUGAGAGAAAGCCGAAGGCGAUCCCAUACAGUCUGCACCUUGCAGGGAAAUGGAGGCACCAGGCACAAGUCAGAAAAGAAUGCAAAUGCCUGGAACUGCAGCAUCUAUUGUUUCUGGGACUGAUCAGUCUGCUCACCUCAGCACAACGCAGCCUGCAGAUGCCCCGUGGCUCCAGUCAUCUUGAUCCGUCCCAAACCAUCCUUAGUGGGGAGACACCUGAGGGCCAGGUACACAGCGUAGACAAACACCACAGCCUUGACAAUGCAGACUUCCAUCUAACAUCCCUGUUCUGGAAUACUUUGCCCUCUUAAGCAUCACCAGCCACUCUGUUAGUAGUGGGGUUUUAAAGCAUUUUCAGCUGAACUGAAAGCCUGGCUGGCCAGAGCUGGCAUGGCGGGGCAUUUGAGGAGACCAGGAGUGCAGGCUGUGGGUUUGCCUCCCUCUAGGGGCACCACAGGGCCCUUUGGUUAUUCACUUCUGAUUACAAGUGCUUGCAAUUUUCAUUUAAAAGAGCAUAUAAAAUAGAAAGAUUGCCAUUGUGUCAGUCCUUCCCUUAGGCAAAGUGGAGACUAAAUAAAAUAAAACCUAGAUUAUUUAGUGUCCAGAUCAAGUGAAAAAAAAAAAAUCUUUUGGAUCUGAUACUAGUGUGACUUCGUCUGUGGGAAGAGAAAGAAGCCCUAACAGAAAAUCAUGAAAAGAUGUUUUAAUAUAUGCCAGGGAAGUGAUUGCCAAUUUUUGGGAUGGAGUGUUUUUCUUCCAAGAUUCUUUCUUUUCACUAAGAAGUUGUUCUAAAAAACAAUAAAAGAGUUGUCUUAAAUCUACUCCUAUACCAGUAAGAACUCAGUUGAAUCCAUGCUGCAAUUGUACAACACAUUUGCACAAGACAGGAGAUGGCAAAACUAUUACUGGAUUGGCUUAAAAAACAGAUUUUUUUAUCACAAGAAAUGCAGUAUUUUUACACCACUGUAACUUCUGCCAUUCAAACAGGUGCAGGACCACCAAAUGGUGAAACACGGUGAGAGCUGAAAAAUGCCACCUCCAUUCCAUGCUCUGACAGUUCAGAAGAUUUGCCUCAGAGUUGGAAGAAAGUCUAAAUUCACCACGGAAUAUAAGCUUUGUUACCUCCUCAAAAUAUUUUGAGAAGCUGAGUAAUAACAUAGAGUGAAUAAAGUAUAUAAAAUACAUAAAUUACUAUAUAAAAAGAAAAUGUCUCCAGCAAUGAAACUGAAAUAUUUUGCUGUUACUAAAAUAGAAUAAGAAAGUCAGAAAGAUUUCUUCUUCUAAUUUCUUAUUCCUAGCCAGGCAUCCUAGGGAAACCUUACUGUUUUACCAGGAGUUCACUUAAUUCAGCAGAGAAGUGUUCAGCUGCAUACAUUUUAGCCCACGCUACCUACCAACAUGAAUAUGCAAAAGCUGGGACUGAGACGCAUGCACACAAGUGCACUGUGUCACCCCAAUGCAAGCCCUGAUGCAAUAAGCCUAGUUUCCAUUUUGGCAGUGGUUGCAGAAGGCUCUGGAAGGGCUGCCGAUGUCAGACUUACUAUUACAAAUCAUCAGCACUGAAAAGCAAAGUCAAAACAAUGUUUGUUGAUCCUAGAAUAAGAGAUGUCAGAAUGGGCAUGCUUAUAUCUGCUUUUUCUUCAAAAGGGAAGUACACAGACAUAAAUUUAGUGUAUGGGGAUUUUAUGUCAGAAAAAAAACCAAAACAAAACAACCCAAAAAGCAAAAAAGCAGCUGCGAUGCCUGAUGGAUGUUUUCAAGAGUGCUGCUCUGGCAAGAAAAAUAACUUUUUUUUCCCCACUUAUUCCCUGUGGCUUUACAUAAUCAGCACUACUUUUUAUUUUUGGUAUUAACUUGUAUGGAGCAUCACAGAAAACAUGACUGCAAGGGACCUUGAGAGGUCAGAUGAUACAGCCCCUACCCCAAGGCAGGAUCUGUUCUUCUUAAGUUAGUCCUCAAAGAUGUCUAAUCUGCUCUUAAGGGCAGCCUGCACAGGGUAAGGGGUCACUUCUGUCCGCCCCAGGGCUCCUCUGCCUUCACCACCAAGUUUCUGCAAGUGUCUAAUCUGAAUCUUCCUCGUUGCGAUUAAACAGAAUUUUAAUUUGCCACAGAUACGAGGAGGAGAUUAAUAUCUUCUGCAAAAGCCUCAUACAGCCUCAGAUUUGGGGUGAGAGGAACUGCUUAGCUCUCGCCGUAAUUAUUUUGGCUUGGGUCUUCCAGUGAGACUGUGGUCUGAGAUAUUUAGGAAGUACAUAAGCAGCAGUUUGGAAAUGAUACCGAUACUUUCUGAGGGGAACAGUCUGCCCUUUGGGCUCUGCAUAAGCCAGCUGGACAGACCUAAUGCCGACUAGGAAGUCUAAAUGAAAGCAGAUCAGAUGUGAAAGAUGGCUGCUUAGAGACUCCAUAAGUAACUAUGUAUUUCUUGACAUGCAGAACCCUAAGUUCUUCUUGUGAUGAAAAAUACAGACCUAUAAAACAUUUACUAGUGAACAUAAAAUCUACUCCUUUUGCAAUCUUGCUGAUGCCAUUAAGGUACAUUCAGGGGCCAUCAGCAGUACACUACUGUAGGCACACAAAAAGCACACACUCAUGGUGAGAAAUUAUUGCCCUGAUUAGAACUCUGGCUCCUCAAUUAUCCAGUAUGCACACCAGCAUGAUCUGAAGUGCCUGCUGUACCCAACAGAUGCCUUAAUUUCAGUAAGAGACUUCACUGUCCCCAAACCCCCUGCCUUUCCAAACUCGCAUACUGGAAACAGGUGGUUUCUGUGUAUCACAGUGAAACACUUGAUGUACUCUGUGGAAAUGGAGGAGUAUUCACAGCCCAUCCAAAGCUGUGCUUUGGUCUCUGAGCGUGUAGGGCACAGGUAACUUGCAGAACCGAACAUGUGCCCUCCCCACUGAAUGGCCUUUCAUUCCUGUGUAUCCUCACUGUGCUUCUGUGUCCUCCUGCCAGGACCUAAAAAAAUGUGCAGUCAUGCACAAAUGCACCAUUAAAUAUUACAGGCGUGAACUAAUGCUUUGGUAACGUGCCCACUCCCCAAGCCCUGCCAGUUUACAGAUUACUGUAAGAAUACCUUAAAACUGGCAGCGAUGCCAUUCCACCUGCUGUCUCUGGUAGGCAUCAGCAUUUCUAGCCGUGUCUCCGCUUCAGGACACAAUAUGCAGUGAAGCAACACCUGCUGCUCUCGUGUCUCUGAUGGGCACAUGUAAAGGUUGGAGAGUAGAUACAAGUGCUCAGAGCCUUCCCGCACACUGCCUCAGCCAAAUGUACACUGACAGAAAUGUGAAGUUAUCUCAGAACACAGAUGUUUGGCUUUGCUGCCACUGCCUGACACCAGCACUUUAUUUUCUUUAUCAUGCGUGUUGAAUUGAAAGCUUUUUUUUUGGCCCUGACCUUGGCAGCAGUUGCUACUGCAUUUCAUCUAAAAGAUAGAAGAAAAGAAGGGAGAAAAAAAGAAAAAAAAAAGGAUUUUCAUGAUGCCCUUUGUAAUCCCAAGUACUUCAAUGGAGGGCCCUCGAACACUUUUACUUAUCAUACUAACUCUGCGUCUUCAUAGGCACAUUUUUAUCCAACCUUAGCAUCUGUCUUUCAGGUGAUUUAAGUAUACAUGUAUUUUCCAAUUGACAGAUGACUGAAAAAGGUCUGUUAAUUUUAUAUCUGUCUUUUCUGAAAUAAAUUGCAUUUUAAGCUGUAUUUUUGUUUUGUUGGGUGUAUUAGUUGGUAGUCCAAUUCAUUUGAGGAUGAAGCUGCCUAUAAUGCCAAUAUCUAGUUGUCAGGUUCUACUACAUUAUCCAUUGUCACAACCUUCCUCUUUUGAUACAUCUGAGGAUUCUGUAAAACUUUUUGCUAAUCUGGCUGUUGCAAACAGGCGUUGGCCUUAAUGACUGUCACAUGGGGCAAAACAGUUAACGUAAGAAUUUUUUCAAGGCUGGAAAAAUUACAAGUCUAGUAUCUCUCACUGUUAGCAUACCAUACACUGCUGGUGGUCUCCUUGUCCUCCUUUUUUCCUACAAGAAUGACACUUCCCCCCAAGGCUCACAUUUCUCAGAUAUUUGCUGCUCCAUGAAACACAACCUUUCACAACUUCAAAAAUAAAAGCCCGCACUCAGUUUUUUUCUGGGUAAAAGACCACAAGGCGUGCUGUUGCUUUAAGAGAAUUGAAGAAAAAAUAUUCGGCAGUGAAGCAGAUUUCUUGUCAGUAUUUGCUGCAGAACAGUGUCAAUCUAAUGAGCUAAAGGGAUGGAAAUUUAGUUCUUGAUGCAAAUCUACAGAAUCAUGGUUGUCUGAAUUACAGCUUUGUUGACAAGAGUGAGAUGUUGUCUCACAAUUAUUCUAAUGUAUAAAACUGAAAUUGGAGAUAAUGAAUUUAAAAUUAUGCAGACCCAAUCCUUAGAGUAAGACAGA